AGAGUUUGAUCCUGGCUCAGGAUGAACGCUAGCUACAGGCUUAACACAUGCAAGUCGAGGGGCAUCAGUUUGGUUUGCUUGCAAACCAAAGCUGGCGACCGGCGCACGGGUGAGUAACACGUAUCCAACCUGCCUCAUACUCGGGGAUAGCCUUUCGAAAGAAAGAUUAAUAUCCGAUAGCAUAUAUUUCCCGCAUGGGUUUUAUAUUAAAGAAAUUCGGUAUGAGAUGGGGAUGCGUUCCAUUAGUUUGUUGGGGGGGUAACGGCCCACCAAGACUACGAUGGAUAGGGGUUCUGAGAGGAAGGUCCCCCACAUUGGAACUGAGACACGGUCCAAACUCCUACGGGAGGCAGCAGUGAGGAAUAUUGGUCAAUGGACGCGAGUCUGAACCAGCCAAGUAGCGUGAAGGAUGACUGCCCUAUGGGUUGUAAACUUCUUUUAUAUGGGAAUAAAGUUGUCCACGUGUGGAUUUUUGUAUGUACCAUAUGAAUAAGGAUCGGCUAACUCCGUGCCAGCAGCCGCGGU
rnacentral:rRNA from 1 species